rnacentral:misc_RNA from 1 species
GACAGUUUAACGUUGGUGGCGCGGGAGGGGAAGACGGCCGCCCUGGGCUCUCCUGUCUCUUCCUCUCACUCUAACCCAACAUGUCUGCUAUGUCAUCAUCUGUCUAGCAUCAUGGUCGGUGCGAGGUGCCCUGUGACGUCACUCUACCGCCAUGAUAUCUGCAGGCAGCUUCCAGCCUGAGAUCAAGUUCCGGUGGUGCCGGACGGUGGGUUGCCGGGCGCCGGAGGUGUGGCUGGUGCUGACCUCUGUGACGGGGACACGAGUGUGCCUCACCUGGCAGCCUCACCUGGGCUGGUACGAGGCCACACCUACACCCAUACCUUGUGGCCUCCACACCGGCUUCAUACUCAUCAAAGACAAGGUACGUGACGCGAUCAGCGGGAGCCUGCAGGUGCGAGAGAGGGACUACAAGGUGGACCCAUUCCACAUCGUGCCACACAAGUUUGCUGUCGAGCUGUUCUUGCAGUCAGACCAAACUUCCCCUUUCUGGAGCGAUGUACCGGAGCUGCGACUGCGUUACCUCAGUUCCGAUCACCUAGAGAGACUCGUCGGCUCCACACACAAAGACUCACAUCCCUAUCACCAGUUUGGAACCCUCGGAGGUCGUAAAUGGGUUUCUUCCACCUCACUGAUUUACACUGGAGAUGAAGGAAAAGAAGAGGGAGCGUCUUCAAGCAUUCAAAAGAAUUUUGCUAGAUCAGAUGGCAAGACCAGAGUCCUCCCUAGAAGCUUAACCCGAGGAAGAUCUCACAGCCAGCUCCGGGCAUCAUCCACAUCAUUUAAUAACCUCAAAGACCAAAAAGAAGCAUCAAUAUCAUCGCCAAAUCUCUCACGUGCUUUCCAAGUUGCUGUUGAUUUGUCACAUGCUAGUUCAAAGUUCUUGGCUGGACUGUCUUCAACAAGCAGCGGUGUUUGUCUUGGGUUUGAGGAUGGCAGUGAGCCUCCGUCUCCAGAUAAUAAAGAAACCCCCAACAACAUCAGUCCUUACGCUGCUGGAGGAGAAACUUCACAGGACUCAGAAGACGCCGGUGAAGGUGCCAGACGAAAAAAAUCCUUGUUCAGUUCUCGAGAUAGAUCUCUCCGCAUAGAAGACUUAACUGGCGAAGAGGCCUGGAGAUGUAGGCGAGAGGCAGGAGCUAAGGGAUUCGAUGGAUCAAAUGCUUCCAGCACAUCAUAUGAGGAUCUUCUUGCUAAUAUUUCCUCAACCAGAAGAGCUACUUUUAAAACUGAGUUGAACCUGCUACGAUUUGACACUUUGGCACAAGAACGCUUGGUAAAGGAAAUAUUGGCUCCGUCGGACUCUGAUUUUGAAGACGAGGAGGGAGCUUGCGAAGUUAGUGACUCAGACAUUGCAGGAAAUUACGGAUGCGUUAUCACCUUUGAGAGUCGCAGCUCUAGCAUGGACGACGUUGGGUCUCCCAGAGCCUUGGAGGAAGUGCUCGUAUCGCUGACUUCCAAUGAUAGCCACCCCGAGGUUGUCUUUGAACCAUCAAAGCUCCAGCUACACUCUUCUGAUGAAGAGCAUGAUUCUGAGUUCAAUCUUGGAACAUCCAGCAGUUCUGAAAGGCGACAACCUGAGCCUAAACCAAGAACAGCCAUUCCUAGAUCAUGUUCAGGCCCAUCAAGUUUGAUAAAUAAGGUGCCAGUGCCAUCGCCUCCAAGACUGAAUGUUAGUCUGGUGUCCGAGACAUUAGUGAGUGUCGAGUCUCAUAAUGAAGGAUUUGAUUCUUCCUUGGACAGCUCUCAGGUGCAUGUCAAAGGCCCUCCGGAGGGGGACCAAGCCAUGUCUGAUGAAGACAUCAGCGAAAGUGAAGCAAGACACAGAGUGACACUUCAGGGGGAUGGCACUGUUACCGUGGCAGCGCUGACCAGUGACUCUCGCAUAACACCUGACAUUGCAGAAGAUGAUAACUUCCAGUACGAAUCUUUAAAGCACGAAGAUGAACACAUUCCAAUAGACAUAAGGAAUAUUGAUAGUGAAGACUCGACAGAAGGUGUUGCAUGCAAAUAUGGUGUUCGUUAUGAUGUGGCAGAAGAUGAAGCUUGCAGUUCUGCGGAAAGUGACAAAGAUGAGAGUGAAAGAAGCAACUUGCAUGAGUUAGAUAGGGCAGAAUCCAUUACCUCUUCCGUGGAUAGAGAAAUACCUACAGAUUCCUUUAGUGCAAUACCACUGGAAGACAGUCUAAAAGUCACUGUGAGAGAAGCUGAUCUCACAGGCACUAAGAGUGACGAAGAUAAAGACAAUGAAAGUGACUCGCGAGACCCUAACAGUGAUCCUAGUGAACAAUGUGAUGUGCCAAAGAGCUGCGACCAUCCAAAAAGCUUGUUGAACUAUAGUGAGUACAUUUCAGUUAUGAGUAAGUCAACAGAAAUUCAAAGUGGCAGUGAAAGUGUCGAGGCCACCUCUGGCGUAGUAAGUGCCACAGCCAGUACUUUAGCAGGUGAUGAUAGAGCCAGAACUUUAAUGGGUGAUGACAGAGCCAGAACUUUAACAGGUGAUGAUAGAGCCAGAACUGUAACAGGUGAUGAUAGAGCCAGAACUUUAAUGGGUGAUGACAGAGCCAGAACUUUAACAGGUGAUGAUAGAGCCAGUACUUUAACAGGUGAUGACAGAGCCAGAACUUUAACAGGUGAUGAUAGAGCCAGAACUUCAACAGGUGAUGAUAGAGCCAGAACUGUAACAGGUGAUGAUAGAGCCAGAACUUUAACAGGUGAUGAUAGAGCCAGAACUUCAACAGGUGAUGAUAGAGCCAGAACUGUAACAGGUGAUGAUAGAGCCAGAACUUGUACAGGUGAUGAUAGAGCCAGAACUUCAACAGGUGAUGAUAGAGCCAGAACUGUAACAGGUGAUGAUAGAGCCAGAACUGUAACAGGUGAUGAUAGAGCCAGAACUUUAACAGGUGAUGAUAGAGCCAGAACUUUAACAGGUGAUGAUAGAGCCAGAACUUUAACUGGUGAUGAUAGAGCCAGAACUUUAACAGGUGAUGAUAGAGCCAGAACUUUAACAGGUGAUGAUAGAGCCAGAACUUUAACAGGUGAUGAUAGAGCCAGAACUUCAACAGGUGAUGAUAGAGCCAGAACUGUAACAGGUGAUGAUAGAGCCAGAACUGUAACAGGUGAUGAUAGAGCCAGAACUUUAACAGGUGAUGAUAGAGCCAGAACUUUAACAGGUGAUGACAGAGCCAGAACUUUAACAGGUGAUGACAGAGCCAGAACUUUAACAGGUGAUGAUAGAGCCAGAACUUUAACAGGUGAUGACAGAGCCAGAACUUUAACAGGUGAUGACAGAGCCAGAACUUUAACGGGUGAUGAUAGAGCCAGAACUUUAACAGGUGAUGACAGAGCCAGAACUUUAACAGGUGAUGACAGAGCCAGAACUUUAACAGGUGAUGACAGAGCCAGAACUUUAACAGGUGAUGACAGAGCCAGAACUUUAACGGGUGAUGACCAUGGCAGAAACAGAUCAUCAAUUGAUGAUAACAGAGACAGAAUUUCAAGAAGAAAUGCCAGAAGCAAAACAUACAAUGUCAGUGACAGGAGCAAAACGUUAACAAACAGAACAUUCGAUGAUAGAACUUUUGAAAGUGAUGACAGAGGCAGAACUUUAGAUAGUAGAACUUAUAAAAGUGGUGACACAAACAGAACUUUAGAUAGUAGAACUUAUAAAAGUGGUGACACAAACAGAACUUUAGAUAGUAGAACUCAUAAAAGUGAUGACAGAGACAGACAUUUUUAUGGUAGAACUUACAAAGGUGGUGACAAAGGCAGGCUUUUAUACGGUGGAGCUCACACAGACGUUGGCAAAAACAGAGGUGUGAUAGGUGAUGAAAGAGGUGUAAGUUUUGCGGAUGUCGGCAAAACUUCGGCAGGUAGUGAUGUGAGCAGAUAUGAGACAAAUGGAAGUUUUCUGUCUGGACAAUACGGAGGCGAUAAGAAGUUGAGGGCUAGCGUUGGUGGAAGAAGACAGGGACAGCACCCACCAGGGUCAGCGACCAGUGAUCAGCACCCUGAGAGAGAUGCGGAAAGCCACCAACCGCACUUACGGUACGUGAGACUGCAGAAUGCCGGCACGCAAACAACGCAGACGAAACGGACGUCGAAAAUGGCAUCAUCGUGGACUUAUAAAUUCAAUGAAGGAGAAGGUGUCACCGUUGGUUCGGCCGCCAAAUACAGCCGCUCUCCCCUGCGCAAUGGACAGACAGAGCCCCCAUUUACACCACUACCAGACCGACUGAGUGGCCCCUGGUCGCAGAGACUUGCCAGGGGCCCGUCACCUUCCCCUGCCAAUGCCGACCUGGCUGCCCUACAAAGGAACCUAUAUAACCUAGUGCAAGGACACGAGAAUACAAUGUAUCUGAGGCAACUGCAGAAUGGGUUGCGACAUAAGGCAUAUCUUGCCCCACACCUGAGCCAACACAUCCACCCUGGCUCCGUACAAGACCCGCCUCCCCGCCGCCAACAGUCCUCCGUGAAUCCACCCCAUCACCAUGAGUCUCCCGUCAAACAUCACUGCCACCAUCCACCCGUCCCCAAUUACCACCAAUCACCAGUCCAUCAAUCCGCCACACCUAUCCACUACAAGUACCCAGUGCUGAACUCUACCUUCGUUCAGUCGUCCUCCUCCCUGGCCUACUUCACCACUCGACCUCACCUGGGGGCGCGGGAUGGACCGCCUCCAGGAGACAGAGCAGCAGGGGUCAGUUAUGGCGGCAGUGCAAGAGACCUAACUAGGCUCCACCAUACCAACACUUUCUUCCACCACCGUGCUGGUGCAGGUGGGUCAAGUAUCCGCAGUGCCGCCAGCCUUCCAGACCUGCAACAUCCAGUCUCCAGCCACCUAAGAGUGCCUAGUCAAUCCUCAUCAUUCUCUCACACUAACCCAGGCCCAACACACGCCCACUCUGCCUUUGACGUGAUGGUUGGUAGUGGCAGCAGUGUUGGGCUGAAGGGGCUGUACUGGGAUGAGAGUGAUAGUGGUGGAUCUACGGACUCCCUCAUUGAUGAAGCUGAACACAUCACCACCACCCCACUCGACCCCAACAUUUACAAUAUUUACCCUCGUAUCCAUGACUUCACAGGUUAUCAGGUUAACCCCAUUAACCCCCCAGUCAACAAAAAUCGGUGUGUCUACAGAUUGGGAUAUGCCAAAUAGAAAGCACCACAAACAGCGAAGACGAAGGACACGUUCACACCAGGGAGGGUUCAGUGCUUGGAGAAGUGAAGCUGAUUCUGCUAGUGUAGGAACUAGCAGUGGACGUCCAUACCUGCCAUACCGUGGGGACCAGCUCUCCCCUGGCCAGCAGGUGAAGGUGCUAGCUCCAGGAGGAGGCGUGGCUGUAGCUAGAGUCCUGACAAAUCAGAAGUCUUCAUGGCAGAU